rnacentral:rRNA from 1 species
CCUACGGGUGGCUGCAGCUAAGAAUAUUCCGCAAUGGACGAAAGUCUGACGGAGCGACGCCGCGUGGAUGAUGAAGGCCGGAAGGUUGUAAAAUCCUUUUGUCGGGGAAGAAUAAGCAUGGGAGGGAAUGCCCGUGUGAUGACAUGAACCGGCGAAUAAGCCCCGGCUAACUACGUGCCAGCAGCCGCGGUAACACGUAGGGGGCGAGCGUUGUUCGGAAUUACUGGGCGUAAAGGGCAUGUAGGCGGUUCUGUAAGCCUGACGUGAAAGGCUAUGGCUCAACCAUGGCACUGCGUUGGGAACUGCGGGACUUGAAUCAUGGAGGGGGAGCUGGAAUUCCAGGUGUAGGGGUGAAAUCUGUAGAUAUCUGGAAGAACACCAGUGGCGAAGGCGAGCUCCUGGCCAAUGAUUGACGCUGAGGUGCGAAAGUGUGGGGAUCAAACAGGAUUAGAUACCCCUGUAGUC